rnacentral:rRNA from 1 species
CUACGUGCCAGCAGCCGCGGUAAUACGUAGGGCGCGAGCGUUGUCCGGAAUUAUUGGGCGUAAAGGGCUUGUAGGCGGUUGGUCGCGUCUGCCGCGAAAUCCUCUGGCUUAACUGGGGGCGUGCGGUGGGUACGGGCUGGCUUGAGUGCGGUAGGGGAGACUGGAACUCCUGGUGUAGCGGUGGAAUGCGCAGAUAUCAGGAAGAACACCGGUGGCGAAGGCGGGUCUCUGGGCCGUUACUGACGCUGAGGAGCGAAAGCGUGGGGAGCGAACAGGAUUAGAUACCCUGGUAGUCCACGCUGUAAACGUUGGGCACUAGGUGUGGGGGCCACCCGUGGUUUCUGCGCCGUAGCUAACGCUUUAAGUGCCCCGCCUGGGGAGUACGGCCGCAAGGCUAAAACUCAAAGGAAUUGACGGGGGCCCGCACAAGCGGCGGAGCAUGCGGAUUAAUUCGAUGCAACGCGAAGAACCUUACCAGGUCUUGACAUCCCUCUGACCGCUCUAGAGAUAGAGUUUUC